UGGGGAAUAUUGCACAAUGGGCGCAAGCCUGAUGCAGCCAUGCCGCGUGUAUGAAGAAGGCCUUCGGGUUGUAAAGUACUUUCAGCGGGGAGGAAGGUGUUGAGGCUAAUAACCUCAGCAAUUGACGUUACCCGCAGAAGAAGCACCGGCUAACUCCGUGCCAGCAGCCGCGGUAAUACGGAGGGUGCAAGCGUUAAUCGGAAUUACUGGGCGUAAAGCGCACGCAGGCGGUCUGUCAAGUCGGAUGUGAAAUCCCCGGGCUCAACCUGGGAACUGCAUUCGAAACUGGCAGGCUAGAGUCUUGUAGAGGGGGGUAGAAUUCCAGGUGUAGCGGUGAAAUGCGUAGAGAUCUGGAGGAAUACCGGUGGCGAAGGCGGCCCCCUGGACAAAGACUGACGCUCAGGUGCGAAAGCGUGGGGAGCAAACA
rnacentral:rRNA from 1 species